rnacentral:lncRNA from 1 species
GCCUAGGCCCCAAGGAGAUCUUUGCGAUUUGGUGCAUCUCGUGCCUUAAAUAACCAUGGUGGUUACAAAAUAUUAUCCAGGCCAGGUUAAAUGUCGGAUCUUGAACUAGAAUUUGAGACACAAUUCAUGAUUUUAUGAUAAACCACAUCUCUUUAGUUGCAUGAUACAGACUUAGAUUAUGACUGCACAUUGGCCGAGGGAUGUCGGAUUAGUUAAAAUUACAACUUUAGUUCUUUUGGAAGGUCUAUGUAAAAGAUGGAGGGGUUAUAUAAUUAUGGGACCUACACGUUGUCAGGCCUCACUGGUUAGUCGGAGCUGAUAAAUUGCCUUUUCCCCUUGGUUUGAAUUUGUUUUCAUUCUUGCAUUUGUUCAUUGUGGUAAAUAUGGCAAAUCUGCACAAUUUGUAUUCCCAUCCGUCAUAUGGUGGUUGUGCCCAUACAAUGUUGUCAAUUGAGGGCAAAACAUUUUUUGUGCUUUCGACUUUGGAAAAAGAUACAAUUGCUUUGGUGAUUCUUUAACGUCAUUUCGGGCUUUUAGUGAAACAACCCGGGUCAAAUCUCGAGUCCAGAAUAAAUCUAAGGUCAAAUCCCAAGUCCGAAUUGAAUCAAAUCCAUCCAAAUAAGGCCUUAAACCACUGGCCCAAAUAGUAUCUUCUUAGGCCAUCUUAGCCCACCACAGGCUCACCCAAAAGGUCAUGACUAAAAGUACUAUUGUUAGUAAUUUUAAUUCCUUAUACAUAGACAAAAUUUUCCCAUAUUUUUCGAUGUGAGACUGGGGUGUUACAGUUACGGUGAAAUUUUGCCUAUAUAAAGUCUUUACAUAGACAAUACUUGAAAUUACUAAUCACAUCUCAUUAUUGAAGCGAUGAUUAAUGAAAAUGAUCUGAGUCAGCGAAAUUUCGGCAACACGGAUGCUCUUUUGAACUGUGGUAAGUCUCUCUCUUCUCCUUAUCUCUUCUCUUGUUUUUUUAAUUUUUUUCUCUUGCCCAAAAAAACUAUUUUUUAAAAUACUAAGGGGUUAUGAUCACAGUUGUCACGACGUCGCCUAGGAAACACCUUGGCGUCCUUGUGCAUGAGCAUCAACAAGUCGACACUUGCCUUGGGGUAAGCUGCCAAGGCGAGCACCUUGGCACUUAGGCGUCCACAAGUCGUCACCAAAGCGACACUUUGGCCGCCUAGUUGCCAAGGCGAGCGCCAAGCCAACUUGGUCAAAUUAGAAGACAACACUAAAAACUUCUGCCCACUUUGACUUGCCGACCCACACGCAGCAUCACUUGACGAUGGUUGCGACACACACAACAACUAUUUUGGGGCAUAAGAAGAAAGAAUAAAGUGCCUUUUAACUUCUAGCUAUCACCAACAAGCUACUUUUGUUCUUUUUCUCUCUUUUUUAAAAUUUAAUUGCUAGUUGUCAUCUAAAAAAGAUUUUAAUGUACUGAAGUGAUUCAUUACCCCUUAACAAAACAAAAUAGUUGUGUUCCACGUGUUUGUUCUACGCGCUGACCAUGAUUUUUUUUAACAAAAUAAUAAAUAUUUUUUUCCUCAUAAAAAUGUAAUAAAAUAAUAAUUUUUUUAUUUUAAGAAGUAACCUUCUCUUUCUCCAUGAAUUAUUAAUUGCAACUUAGUUUUAUUGCAUGUACAAAGACUCUUAAAAGUUAUAAUUUUGACCACAAAUCAUAAAAACUCGUGUAACUCCAAUUAAUAUAUAAAUAAUAUUUUUUCCCUAAAAUUAAAUGUAUAUUUUAUAAUUGUUUAAUGUAUUUUUUUAGUCCAAGACGUGAGAAAAUUAAAUAAUAAUUUUGGUUCAAUGUACUUUUAAUGUAAAAUAAAUAAUGUAUAAAUUGCUUAAUGUGAACGACUUAUUGCCAUAUGGACGCCAUGAUGGGAGCCUAAUCGCCUAGGCGUCCUAUCAGUUAACUGCCGUGACAACUAUGGUUAUGAUGCCCAAUUUUCUUCAAAAAUUUUAGAACUUUAUUACACUACUAUUCCGGUGUUUACUAACUUGUUAAAUAAUUAAAUAUAUGUAUAUAUCUUAUAAUUUUUUUAAUAUUUAAAUAUGCAUUUAUAUUGUUGUUUAGUGUUUACUACUUAAAUAUAUGUGUAAUAUUGUAAGCAUUUAACUAUGUACUUAUAAUUAUAAUCUAAUUAUAAAAAUAUCACUAUGUUGCUAUGCUACUAUGCUACAGACGUAUGGUCCUUGAACUUGUUAUAGUAACUUUUUGAACAUGCCUAGAAGUUUUUAAAAGUACAUAAUAAUUGAUAAAUUUGAUAUAUAAAUAAUUAAAUAUAUAUAUAUAUAUAAUUUUUAUAAAAGAUGUACGCCUCACUUUAAUGAGACACGCGCCUUGCUUCGCGCCUAGGCCCCAAGGAGAUCUUUGCGAUUUGGUGCAUCUCGUGCCUUAAAUAACCAUGGUGGUUACAAAAUAUUAUCCAGGCCAGGUUAAAUGUCGGAUCUUGAACUAGAAUUUGAGACACAAUUCAUGAUUUUAUGAUAAACCACAUCUCUUUAGUUGCAUGAUACAGACUUAGAUUAUGACUGCACAUUGGCCGAGGGAUGUCGGAUUAGUUAAAAUUACAACUUUAGUUCUUUUGGAAGGUCUAUGUAAAAGAUGGAGGGGUUAUAUAAUUAUGGGACCUACACGUUGUCAGGCCUCACUGGUUAGUCGGAGCUGAUAAAUUGCCUUUUCC